CCGUGAGACGUAGCGCGGAGCGACCCAGCCAGCAAGCGAGAUGCCGGUGGCCGUGGGCCCCUACGGACAGUCCCAGCCUAGCUGCUUCGACCGCGUGAAGAUGGGCUUUGUGAUGGGUUGCGCCGUGGGCAUGGCGGCCAGGGCAUUCUUCGGCACCUUUUCCUGUCUCAGGAUCGGAAUGCGGGGUCGGGAGCUGAUGGGCGGCAUUGGGAAAACCAUGAUGCAGAGUGGCGGCACCUUUGGCACAUUCAUGGCAAUUGGGAUGGGCAUCCGAUGCUAACCAUGGUUGCCUACUAUAUCUACACCUUCCCAUCAGCCCCAGCCCAUUGUAUUUAAGUUCAAAUCAAAGUUCUUU